ensembl:lncRNA
CCUUCUUCUGUAUCCGGAUGGCACUGAGGUCAUUACUGUCCCUGGAACACAAAGACCAUUUACACUUGAGGCUUAUAAGGCUGAAGUUGGCAAGCCUUAUCAAAGAAUCACUGUUUUCAUCUGCUUGAAGAGUGACUUUGAAGAUGUUGGAGAAAACUCAGACUUGUCUGACUCUGACCCAGAGAUUGUUAUUAAAAGGCCCUCUGAGUUUGAUCUUGCUGAUACACUGCCAUUGGAACUUCAACAUGAAAGCAGUCCUUUACAGAAAGCGGCAGAAUAUGAGGUGCUGGGGAUCUUGUGCUUGCUAAUGAAGUACAACAGACACACCAAUUUGCAGGCACAUGGAAUUAUUGCAAAUUUGGCACUGGAACUUGACCACAAGAAGGUCAGCAGGUUCAAUAUAUCAAGGUCAGCUGUAUGGGAUGGAGCUGUUAGAGGAUUUCGACACAGCACAUACUCUGACAACUACGACAUGUUCAUCAAGUUUAAUGAUGAUGCUGGCAGCUUUGAAGAAGGUUUGGAUACAGGUGGCCCGG